rnacentral:rRNA from 1 species
GAUGAACGCUGGCGGCGUGCUUAACACAUGCAAGUCGAACGAAGCACUUUAUUUGAUUUCCUUCGGGACUGAUUAUUUUGUGACUGAGUGGCGGACGGGUGAGUAACGCGUGGGUAACCUGCCUUGUACAGGGGGAUAACAGUUGGAAACGGCUGCUAAUACCGCAUAAGCGCACAGCAUCGCAUGAUGCAGUGUGAAAAACUCCGGUGGUAUAAGAUGGACCCGCGUUGGAUUAGCUAGUUGGUGAGGUAACGGCCCACCAAGGCGACGAUCCAUAGCCGACCUGAGAGGGUGACCGGCCACAUUGGGACUGAGACACGGCCAAAACUCCUACGGGAGGCAGCAGUGGGGAAUAUUGCACAAUGGGCGAAAGCCUGAUGCAGCGACGCCGCGUGAGCGAAGAAGUAUUUCGGUAUGUAAAGCUCUAUCAGCAGGGAAGAUAAUGACGGUACCUGACUAAGAAGCACCGGCUAAAUACGUG